ACCAUUACCCUUUACCAUAAUUAAUCCCAAACGACCCCUUACCCUAACUUAUUUCCCAUCACUCGUCACCUAUGAAUAACUUCCCUCUCAAUUCUCUCUGCAACCUCACAUGAACCCUAGACACCGCCAUAUACUUCCACCCUAAUCCCCUCAACACUGCCUAAUCCAUGGCCUCUCAUGGCUAUUUGAGAUGUGUAUCAGCCUCCUAUGGCUCUUGGGUGUUUUUUUCCGUGAUUUCAUUGUCGGAUCUCAAAUAUAUCUAGUCCAGUCCUUGCUCAAUCUCUUUCUCUAGUCUUUCUCCAGCCAUCCAUGGCCAUUCAAGUCAGAUCCUUGACCUUUGCGGCUACAUCGGUAACAUUUCAAAGUCUUUCUCACUUUUUCUGGGUUCUCUGAAACCCUAGCUUUAAGAUCUUUUUGAUUUUCUUUGAGAUCUAUCUUAGAUCUGUGCUUACUAUGAAGUUCUUAAGUGUUUUCCUGAAGGUUCUUUGACUUUCUUUCAAAAUGGCUCUUCAUUUUUUCAACGAUUAGGGUUUCUCUUAACCUCUUUUUAAAGAUAUCCUCUCUGGUUUUUGGUGUUGUUUCAUGAUUUUACUAUUUUCAAACAACUUGUUUAUCCCUUUCUUCUGCUUGAUUCAGCAUGUUUGAAAACCUUAGUUCCUUUUUGGUCUCAUCCGAGUUCUGAAACUUUUUGCUUAAAUGUGUACUUGUUCGAUUAAGUUCUUUGUUUCUGACUCUCUUUUCCUUGUUUGACUUAUCUGAUUUGGGUUCUUAUCCUCUCUUAAACUCGAUAAUUUCUUAAAAGGGGUUUUCCUCACUUGAUACUACUGUGAGACCUUUAGUUGUUUCUGAUUUUUCUUACCUGUCAGUUUGGUUCUCUGCACUUUUGUUUUAUAUGGCUGCUUGACUACUAUGCUUCGAAUAGUUUUCUUCUUCUACUGAAUCCUAGAUUACCCUAUUGCCCCUAUAUAUAUCUUUUGCUUAUUUUUGUUGACAUAUUUAACUCUACAUGCCUGUUCAUUCCUUGUUAUUUAUAUGGUGAAGUGCAUAAUCGUGUUCCUUUGUUGAUUGAUCUUGAUUUCCUCAAUCUUCUGACUAAUUGCAAAAAGUUUUCUUAUAAACCCUAAUUGUAUUCGUUUGUUUAAAUUAAUUGGUCCCUCCUUUUCAUUACUGUGGUGUUUUACCUUGCUGAAUCCUUUUACAAAAUAAGCAUAUUUUAUACUUAGACUUGAUUAUUGACUUCAUACUUUUACUGCCCCCUUAUAUGGGAAUAAUCAAUAUGUCCCAAACUGAUUUCUUUCUUUAAUCAAACCUGUUAGUAUCCGUUAAGCAAUGAUUCCUUAAUUAAAGGGAAUCACUUGUGUUAAUUGAUUCUGAUUGUGAUUAUUUCCAUGUUUGCGUUAAGACAUUGGUUAUUAUCUUAUUCUUCACUCGUUUUCAGAACUAUGAAUACCCAACCUCUUUUCUUUCAAAGAUACGAGCAAUUUGAGUUCAAAACACACACUUACACUCAAAACUCUCUACUUUCUCUAUUACUACUUGUGCUAUUGCUUUGUCUAGCCGGCUGAAAGCCAAGUCUACAAUGUGGAAUCUUUCUUACUUUUCCUUUCUUCACUUUGCUUUUCUACCGGUAUGUCCUAGUUCACUUUUAAAUGCCCCAAAAACAACAUAUUUCUUUGAUUGUUCCAAUUUAUUGCAUUUAUCUACUCCUGCAUAUGUUUCUGCAGUCAAGUUAUAUGACUAGCAUACUGUAAUAUUUUCCCUACCCCUUUUAAAUUAAUGCUUCCCUAUAUGUGUACUUUGUGUACUUGUUGUCUUAUGAAUCCCAAACCAUAUCCCCUCAAAUGUGUUUGUUUCUCUGGUUGGUUUGUGAUUAUACCAGCAUCACCUAUUGAUGUGCAUGACCAUACCAGAUCCCUACUGGGGUCAUGUUCUUACAGACAAUGUACCCCUAAAACCCCUUGACCCCUUUGUGUGACUGCCGAUUCUGUGUGUUUGAGUUUCUUUCAUUACCACAAUUUAUUUCAAAAAUUUCUACCACUGAUUACCUUAAAAAUAUGACUUGCAUUCGAGUUUUAAAUAAACUCUUUUUCAACUAUAUUCUGCACUUCCACUAGAUUCUUAGAAUCUAGGUUAUGCACCUCUUGUGCGACCCUUGCCUUGGGAUCCUUGAUCUCCCUCUGAACUUGGACACCUAAGGGCUGGCUCUUCCACAUGCACUCAUUUUUUUCUGGUCAUGCAAGCCUGGGUGUAGGCACUGCCCGGGAUCCCAUAAGGUUCUUAGGAAACUUUGACACACCCAGGUACGAGAAAGGCUUUGAAAUUCUAUCACUGAAGUGGUUCAUUACACAACCCAGAGAGGAAGUCAAGAUCAUUCUUUCCUUUGGUUGUAAUUUUCUUAUUUCUGCACUUCUUUUUUUAUAAUUCAAUCAUUUGGGCUUUAAUAAUUUGUAAGCAAUAUUGGGGUUGGCUAGUGAAAAGGGAUGGGGUGAUCAUACUUGUUUGAGCUAUUAGAAGGGUAAAUAACAUGUCUAUAGGGUGUAUUUCGAUAUGAUCUAUUAGAGAACAUGCCUAUAGGAUCUGCUUUGGUCUCAUAAAUUUCUGCAUGCUUUACUUUUACAUAAUUAGAAACCACGCGUAUAGGAUCUGCUUUGGUCUAAUAAACUUCUUCA
rnacentral:lncRNA from 1 species